rnacentral:tRNA from 1 species
GGGCCGUUAGCUUAAUGGUAAAGCAGAGGACUCAUAAUCCUUUGAGUGUAGGUUCGAAUCCUACACGGCCCACCA